rnacentral:tRNA from 1 species
ACCUUUUUAGUAUAUCACGUACAUCUGCCUUCCAAGCAGAAAGAUUACCUAUGUAAAAAAGGUA